rnacentral:rRNA from 1 species
GCUAUACUGUCUCCCCCCUUUAUCAGUGAAACUGAUCUCCCCGUGAAGAAGCGGGGAUAAUCAUAUAAGACGAGAAGACCCCAUGGAGCUUCAAACUCGCACCACUGCCCCCCCCCUCCACCCUAGUAAGUCGGGCAAGAUGGUAACGAGUCUUUCGGCUGGGGCGACCACGGAGAAAAACAAAACCUCCAUGAUGAAAGGAACACCCUAAUCAAAGAGCCACUGCUCUAAGAAUCAAUAAAUUGACACAUUGACCCAAUAUUUUGAUCAACGAACCAAGUUACCCUGGGGAUAACAGCGCAAUCCAUUUCAAGAGACCUCAUCAACAAAUGGG